UUUAAAGACAAGGCCUGCCUGGCUCUAUCUAUAGACCCAAAGCUAUUUGACACUGUGUAGCCACUGUCUCUUGAACUUUUUUACAUUGACAGGAUUACAUCUAUACAUGAAUGAUAUAUCUCAAUUACAGUGAAAACAAGAUCACAAUGACUGGAAUGAAGGUCAGGGUUGGAGAAGACAAAGAGACCUGUGCCAAUGUCCAGCAACAGGCUGGGGUUUUUCUUUUAGUCAUGAUUACUCAGGGCUCCUCCAUGGAGAUAACAGGUAGAGGUAACAAUCCAGCCAGAGGGAGGAGGCAGGCCCAGUGCUGU